rnacentral:rRNA from 1 species
AACGAACGCUGGCGGCAUGCCUAACACAUGCAAGUCGAACGAGACCUUCGGGUCUAGUGGCGCACGGGUGCGUACCGCGUGGGAACCUGCCCUUAGGUUCGGAAUAACUCCCCGAAAGGGGUGCUAAUACCGGAUAAUGUCUUCGGACCAAAGAUUUAUCGCCUUUGGAUGGGCCCGCGUUGGAUUAGCUAGUUGGUAGGGUAAAAGCCUACCAAGGCGAGGAUCCAUAGCUGGUCUGAGAGGAUGAUCAGCUACACUGGGACUGAGACACGGCCCAGACUCCUACGGGAGGCAGCAGUGGGGAAUAUUGGACAAUGGGCGAAAGCCUGAUCCAGCAAUGCCGCGUGAGUGAUGAAGGCCUUAGGGUUGUAAAGCUCUUUUACCCGGGAUGAUAAUGACAGUACCGGGAGAAUAAGCUCCGGCUAACUCCGUG